AACGAACGCUGGCGGCAUGCCUAAUACAUGCAAGUCGAACGAGCCCUUCGGGGUUAGUGGCGCACGGGUGCGUAACGCGUGGGAAUCUGCCCUUGGGUUCGGAAUAACGUCGGGAAACUGACGCUAAUACCGGAUGAUGACGAAAGUCCAAAGAUUUAUCGCCCAGGGAUGAGCCCGCGUAGGAUUAGCUAGUUGGUGAGGUAAUGGCUCACCAAGGCGACGAUCCUUAGCUGGUCUGAGAGGAUGAUCAGCCACACUGGGACUGAGACACGGCCCAGACUCCUACGGGAGGCAGCAGUAGGGAAUAUUGGACAAUGGGGGCAACCCUGAUCCAGCAAUGCCGCGUGAGUGAUGAAGGCCUUAGGGUUGUAAAGCUCUUUUACCCGGGAUGAUAAUGACAGUACCGGGAGAAUAAGCCCCGGCUAACUCCGUGCCAGCCGCCGCGGUAACAC
rnacentral:rRNA from 1 species